rnacentral:rRNA from 1 species
CGCGUGCACUGGUCCGGCCGGGCCUUUCCCUCUGCGGAACCCCAUGCCCUUCACUGGGUGUGGCGGGGAAACAGGACUUUUACUUUGAAAAAAUUAGAGUGCUCAAGGCAGGCCUAUGCUCGAAUACAUUAGCAUGGAAUAAUAGAAUAGGACGUGUGGUUCUAUUUUGUUGGUUUCUAGGACCGCCGUAAUGAUUAAUAGGGACAGUCGGGGGCAUCCGUAUUCAAUUGUCAGAGGUGAAAUUCUUGGAUUUAUUGAAGACUAACUACUGCGAAAGCAUUUGCCAAGGAUGUUUUCAUUAAUCAGGAACGAAAGUUAGGGGAUCGAAGACGAUCAGAUACCAUCGUAGUCUUAACCAUAAACUAUGCCAACUAGGGAUCGGACGAUGUUAUUUUUUGACUUGUUCGGCACCUUACACGAAAGUACAAGUUUUUGGGUUCCGGGGGGAGUAUGGUCGCAAGGCUGAAACUUAAAGAAAUUGACGGAAGGGCACCACCAGGAGUGGAGCCUGCGGCUUAAUUUGACUCAACACGGGGAAACUCACUAGGUCCAGACACGAUGAGGAUUGACAGAUUGAGAGCUCUUUCUUGAUUUUGUGGGUGGUGGUGCAUGGCCGUUCUUAGUUGGUGGAGUGAUUUGUCUGCUUAAUUGCGAUAACGAACGAGACCUUAACCUGCUAAAUAGCCCGUAUUGCUUUGGCAGUACGCUGGCUUCUUAGAGGGACUAUCGG